UGGGGAAUAUUGCGCAAUGGGCGAAAGCCUGACGCAGCAACGCCGCGUGGGGGAUGAAGGCCUUCGGGUUGUAAACCCCUUUCAGUCAGGGAGCGAAGCGAAAGAUGACGGUACCUGCAGAAGAAGCGCCGGCUAACUACGUGCCAGCAGCCGCGGUAAUACGUAGGGCGCAAGCGUUGUCCGGAAUCAUUGGGCGUAAAGAGCUCGUAGGUGGUCUGUUACGUCUGCUGUGAAAACCUAGGGCUUAACCCUGGGCCUGCAGUGGAUACGGGCAGACUAGAGGUAGGUGGGGGAGAAUGGAAUUCCCGGUGUAGCGGUGAAAUGCGCAGAUAUCGGGAGGAACACCGGUGGCGAAGGCGGUUCUCUGGGCCUUACCUGACACUGAGGAGCGAAAGCGUGGGGAGCGAACAGGAUUAGAUACCC
rnacentral:rRNA from 1 species